GGAUGUGAGGGAAAUCUGUCUGUGACAUCUUUCACCCCAUUGAUCUCCUGUGUUGAUUAGGCUGAUCUGGUUGGCUAGGUGGGUGUCUCCUUCCUACCUCACAGCUAUAUGUGUGUCCCUCCCAAAGCUGUGCGCUAGGUUGAAGAGGAAGGCCUUCUCCAAAUAUAGACACACCGGUCUUCUGUUGAGGGUAUAUCAGUAGCUGCACUCCCCUGCUACAACCUCCAAACAAACUCUCAAGGUAAUUAAAGGCUUCACUGUUGUGGAAAUUGACAGUUGUUUCAAUAUUAUUUUAAUCCCUAAAUUGGAGCUCACUGGCUUAAAAGCCUCUUUU
rnacentral:snRNA from 1 species